GCUGUACUUCACUCCCACCUCAUGCUUUGCUUGAUAAAAACUUAAAACACAGCUGCCCAGAAGCACACACCACACUCUCUCCAUCUCGCCAGAACCUGCGUCCCUGCCCCUAGUAGUUCCUGAUGAUGCAGGUUUCUAAAGACGUUAUGAUCGUGUCUCUGCUUUUGCUGUGCUCAAGUGAUGACUUGUAUAUAUAUGCAGUGUUACAUGUUCUGUAGUUAUGCUUAAAGUGUAGCUUUUGAUCUCAAACUCUAAGCUUUACGCUCGUGAGAUGUCGUUUUCAAGCUAGUUUUUGUAAUCCGACAUAGUUGGUCGAUGCUAUGUAUGUAAAUUAGUAAGUAUAAGGAAUAAGGGUUGUAUAUUAUCAGUUUGGUUGUAUAAAAGUGUUUCUCUAUAUAAGUUCGUUAUUUCCCGCGA